rnacentral:rRNA from 1 species
UGGAAAGCGGCGGACGGGUGAGUAACGCGUAGGCAACCUGCCCUUAGCAGAGGGAGUAGCCAUUGGAAACGAUGAUUAAAACCUCAUAAUGCUGGAGGAAGCACAUGCUUCAUCAGCCAAAGAUUUAUCGGCUAAGGAUGGGCCUGCGUCUGAUUAACUAGUUGGUGAGGUAACGGCUCACCAAGGUGACGAUCAGUAGCCGACCUGAGAGGGUGAUCGGCCACAUUGGAACUGAGACACGGUCCAAACUUCUACGGAAGGCAGCAGUAAGGAAUCUUGCACAAUGGGGGAAACCCUGAUGCCAGCAACGCCGCGUGAACGAUGAAGGCCUUAGGGUUGUAAAGUUCUGAUCUGUGGGAAGAAGAAAGUGACGGUACCACAGGAGAAAGCCCCGGCUAAAUACGUGCCAGCAGCUGC